UUUUUACUGAAAUUAAUUGUAAAUAACACCUGCUCCAUGAAUUUUUUAAAUAGCCGCGGAAAUUUAACUGUGCUAAGGUAGCAUAAUCAUUAGCCCCCUAAUUAGGGGCUUGUAUGAAAGGUGAAACAUUUCAAUUUCUUUAUAACAAAUUAUUUUUUAAGCUAAAUUAAGAAUAAAAAUGUUCUUAUACAUAAAAUAGACGACAAGACCCUUUUGAACUUUACUUUAGUUUGGCUGGGGCAGCCAAACAAAAAUAAUCUUAUUAUUAUUCUUUUUUUAAAUGACCCAAUAAAAUUGAUUACUUGAACAAGUUACCAUAGGGAUAACAGCGUAAUAUCUUUCUAAAGCUCUUAUUUAAAAAGAAGAUUGCGACCUCGAUGUUGAAUUAGUGUAACUUUAACUGGAGCAGUAACUUUAAAAGUAGGUCUGUUCGACCUAUAAAACACUACAU
rnacentral:rRNA from 1 species